UUAUAUUUAGGAACGGAGGGAGUAGCAUACAUCUGAAGUAAAAUCCUGCGUUUAUCUUUCAGACGUUUACCGCCGAAUAUUCAAUUACAGACAGAGUUUUUUUUUUUUUUGCGAGAGAAGUACAGACAGAGUUGCAUGUAUAGACAUGGAAAGAAAGGGGUAAAAGUACCACGGGCAUCUCCAAUAAUCGAAGACGAGUCACUCUCGAGGUACUGCAUCAAUAGAUACAUGGAGCUGCCAUUGCUAGUAUCUCCAACUGCAGCGCACAACACAACACUAGGAUCCAAAGCUAGCUAGCUAGCUAGAGAAACACUACUCUACAGUCCUCUGCCUCUGCCUUCGGCUCUGAACUCCAGCCUCUGCUUGACCGUAGUAGUACGUGCACAAAGCAAUGGAGCACAAGGGGCAGCUUCAGCCGGAGAAGAAGAGUGCCCAAGAAGAAGAAGAAGAAGCCAUGGCGAUGGCGGCCUCGUCUCCUUCCUUCUUCUUUGCGCACCCCUUGUCUCUACUGCACGGCUGCACCACGCCACCCGCAGCUUCGCCGGGUACAUGGGCCUCUCUCGCCUGUGCCACGCCCUCAAGGAUCUCAAGCCUCGCGCCGCCACUUCACCUCUCGCAGCCACUUGUUCCCAGCUGCAUGAUCAAGAGCACGGAGCAGGAGGCGCUGGACAUGCUGCAGAUGUAAGUAGAAAAUGAUCAGUAUCUUGUUAGCUUUGUUUGAGUUCAUCUAGGGACUGACUUCUGAUUUAAUCUUCUUGUGAUCUAUGGGCGGGCCAUGGCUAUGAUCGGACAGGAUGAUUGCGCGGCCGUCCAAGUGCGGUCGAGAGGGGUGCCUCAGAGGCCUCGUGGUCCAAGAGAAGGACGAGGAGGAACACACCACUAGGCUUAGGCUUAGCUUAGUCUGCAAUUGUAGGCUACAACAUUCUGCGUGUGUUCUUUCUGGAACUCUGAAUUUAGAGUCUUAGAGUGAGUGCUUCCAUCUCAUCCAGUUUUGUUCCAAAGACAAGUUUAAAUUCCAGGCCGGCCAUGUUGUUUGCGUUCCGGGUCGCAUUGAGAAAAAUUGUAUGUAUUUUUUGCACGCGCGCAGUCGCCUCGUGCCUUCAGUGAAGACGUAAACAUCAUAUACGGGGCAUAAGUGAUUCAGCGU
rnacentral:lncRNA from 1 species